rnacentral:rRNA from 1 species
UACAGAGGGGGCAAGCGUUGUUCGGAAUCACUGGGCGUAAAGGGCGCGUAGGCGGGCUGGCAAGUCAGUCGUGAAAUCUCUCGGCUCAACCGAGAAACGUCGGCUGAUACUGCCGUUCUUGAGGGAUGCAGAGGAGACUGGAAUUCCCGGUGUAGCGGUGAAAUGUGUAGAGAUCAGGAGGAACACCGGUGGCGAAGGCGGAUCUCUGGGCCUUACCUGACGCUGAGGAGCGAAAGCGUGGGGAGCGAACAGG